AUGAACGCUGGCGGCGUGCCUUAUGCAUGCAAGUCGAACGCUCUAAGAAUCCGCAAGGACUUUUAGGGAGUGGCGGACGGGUGAGUACAAGCAAGGAACGUACCCCUUAUUGUGGGAUAGCUCGUCGAAAGACGGGGUAAUACCGCAUGAGCCCGCAAGGGCAAAGCGCUUAACCGCGCGAUAAGGGAGCGGCCUUGUGGCUAUCAGCUUGUUGGUGGGGUAAAGGCCUACCAAGGCUACGACGGCUAGGGGGCGUGAGAGCGCGACCCCCCACAAUGGCACUGAGAUACGGGCCAUACACCUACGGGUGGCAGCAACAGGGAAUCGUUGGCAAUGGACGCAAGUCUGACCACGCGACGCCGCGUGAGGGAUGAAGGCUUUCGGGUCGUAAACCUCUUUUAUCUCGCCGUCGAGGCGAGGAGAAUAAGCACCUACUAACUACGU
rnacentral:rRNA from 1 species